GAUGAACGCUGGCGGCGUGCUUAACACAUGCAAGUCGAGCGAGAAGUUUUGGAAUGAUUCCUCGGAUGAACUUUACAAUGGAAAGCGGCGGACGGGUGAGUAACGCGUAGGCAACCUGCCCCAUACAAAGGGAUAGCAGUUGGAAACGAAUAUUAAUACCUUCUGAGACUUAACUCGUGCAUGCUAGGUAGGUCAAAGAUUUAUCGGAUUGGGAUGGGCCUGCUUUUGAUUAGCUAGUUGGUAAGGUAACGGCCCACCAAGGCGACGAUCGGAAGCUGACCGGGAAGGUGGACCGGCAACACGGGACCUGGGACACGUCCAAACCUCUAACGGGGGGAAGAGGGGGGGAUAAUGCAAAAUGGGGCGAAAGCCGAAGCAGGAAAGGCGGCGGAAGGAAUAAAGACCUUGGGGUGGUAAGUCUCUUUUUAGGGGAUGAAAACUGACAGUACCGGAGGAGAAAGCUCCGGCUAACUCCGUG
rnacentral:rRNA from 1 species